rnacentral:lncRNA from 1 species
GACUUCCACUUUUUUCAGUUCUAUGGCUAGUCUUGAUUUUGGCUGACACCCUACCUCUGCUGGGGUUGAAGGAGAGCCCACGACGAUCUCCGAGGCAGACCCCAGGGUCGCCGAAGCAGACCCCGGCCCCGGGGUCCCCGGUGCGGAAAUUGCGACGCGGUUACGCGUGGUUCGCGGAUCUGCGGGACUCGCAACGUCUGAGCCUGGGUCCGUUCUCUACAACCCGAGCGUGGGGAGGAUACUCGUGUUGGACAACGCCGAAGUCGCCGUCAUGGAGAACAACCUCUGCCCCUUCCAGCCGACCAUACGCUUGUUCAUUUUCUCCGAUUCAGCGGACGGUUCACAAUCAGCGCAGGUCCGCCAGGUGAAGGAGGAGAUCUCCGCGGAGGUGCGGUUGAUGCGCGUGGCGCUGGCCCGCCGCCUCUCCAGAGAAGACCUGCCGUACCACAUGAUCUUCUGCAACAAGUCCCACUGGUGGGCCUUCAUCCUCCACGGCCGAAGUCACGAGUCGUUCUGGAAGCCCACGUGCCCCUUGGUCCGCUCCUGGGUCGGUGUCGACCGCGGGAGCAUCGAAUCCGACGCGUUCGCGUUCCAGGACAGGUGCGGCAACGAGUACCACAGCUUCCCGCCGCACGACAGAGAACUCGACGAUCGCACCAACUUUUCGUGGAUCCCCGGACGCCGAAUCCAGAACAUGCCCCUGCCCAGGUGUUUUAUGGCUCCUCCAGAGUGACUCCCUCACCGAUAGAGCUCUCGCAUACGUCUGGGAAUCGCGAUUGCAAUGCUUUGUACAUUUUUGCUAGAAACACGCAUACGAACAUCUGACAGUAAUAAUUUAAGAAAAUUCAAGGAAAAAUAAAUUUUUAGACACAACUUUGGGCGUUGGUAGGUACUGACCCCGGGCUCUUCCCUAUGCAGCCGUGCUAGGGAAAAACGCCGUAUGGAAAAUCGAGAGUUGCUAAAUUUCCUAGAAAAAGACACGUAUUAUGGAGGAAAUGAAGAAAGAAAAACCCAGGAUGUGGACCCAGCACCAUUUCUUCACCUUGUUACACGGAGGAAAGUUGUGCAUAAUUAUUUCCCCUUAAAAUCUUCAGAUAUUUUAGAAUAUAUUGCGAACAAAAUUGUCUGAAAAAUUUGAAGAAAAAUAUUCACAAUUUUCCCGGUGAAUUCGAUUUAUAUCGACGGAAAUACGGCAACGUCUGAAGACUCAUACGACUUUCUUCCUUAUCAUGGCAGUAUGCUACAAAGGGGAAAAAAUUGAAUCAACAUUGCAGGAGAUUAAAAAUCUACAUGAAAACUCCGGAAUGUGAAUAUGAACGCCUCGGUUGUUAAUUCAACGUCGCUAGAACGUUACUUCAACAGCCGGAGUGCUCAUAUCAACAUUCAAGAGUUGCCACGCCAAAUUUUUAACAUUCCGGGAUGUUGACUCAGCAACUCUCCUUUCCUAAAACUGAAAGUUUAGUUUGACAAACUGAAUACUUCAGACGAUAUCGAACGCCCGGAGUUCAGUUCAUAUGGCCGAACCGUUUUUUUUUUUUCAGUAUGCGGUUGCCUGAGGUGGCGGAGCGGAUAAAGCUCCCAGCUUGGAGCGUCUCUGUCGUGAUAUCGAAGAGAGCAGUAACUGCGUUUCUGUAUGAGCCAUGGCUAGCCCAUGCUUUCAUGGGUCUCGAGGUGCUUCCCUGCACGCACUUACUGCUUUCUUCGCUAUGACGGCAGUCACUGCUAACCGACCGGUGAGGAAUCGGAAGAGAAGUCACGUUCGGCCAUUAAACCGAGACCGAGGGCCCGAGAUAAAGGCCGCGACGAAUGCAAUGCGACACAACACAAAUUAACCUCACCUAUGCAUACCUUACAAGUCCUAGACUAAUGAGCCAGCCCGACCGGCCGGCCGGCCAUCGGGUCGGGGCCAACAGCUCGCUUCGCGAACCUCUCGCUAAAAUCCAAUAAAAACGCCCGGAAAACUUGUCACGGCGGUGUCGAAGAGCUGGAGAAAAUCGCGCUUUCAGAUCUCUUCCGCGAGAACCAACUGCUGUACGUAGAGAGACAAAUGACCGUAGUUAUUGUACACAGAAAGGAUUAUGUGGGCGUAAAUUAAAUUGAAAGGGACUACAAAGACAAACUACAUGCAGGGGAUUUGGAGAGCUCGUGUUUUUUUUUUUUUUUUUUUUUUUUUUUUUUUUUUUAAUAUGUUGUUUUAGGCUUUUCCCCGCGAAAUGGUGUGGACCCAGCACCAUUUCUCCACCUUGUUUUAGGCUUUAUAUAGUUCAUAGUUCUUUUUGAUUUUAUAACUGUUCACAUGGUUCUUUUGAGCAAAAUACGAUACCGCGGUUGCCACAGAAUUCAGAAAAUGAAAUUCCCUGACAUUUACCUGAUUUGCCUAACACAUUUUGGUGAAAUUUCCUGACAAUUAAAGAUAUGACAGGUGGUCGGGGAGACAUUCUUAAAAAUAGUUUUCAGGUAAAAUGUAUUGUUCGAAACCUCAAACCCAUUCUAAACAGGAAAUAAAAGGUGAUUUAACAAAUUUUGCCCAACAUUUUUGUCAUUUACCCUAAAAUUUCCCAAUUUUCCCAUACUUCUUAAAAUUCCCUGACAUUUCCCGGUAUUCUCUGACUGUGACAAUCCUGGAUAUGUCCUUCACUAGUAAAAUGGUAUAAAUUUCACUCGUUAAUCAUCAGAAUGCGACCAAAAGUAUUCAUCUCUUACAUCAUUUUUGCCUCGACUUUAACUCAAUCGUUGACUAUUAACUGGAUUGCAUUUUGCAAGAAGGAACCACUAGCAUUGCAAUGUUGCUAAGAUUGUGCAACUUCUUUGUCUUGGAGGAAAACCUCGAUUAUCCAUUAAUAGUUUCUAUUUUACUCGCUAAAAACUGUAAAUUUAAGACAAAAUUACCAUCUAAACGUAGUUUUUCACGAUUUCCGCAACUUUAUUGCAAAGGAUGAAGUUGCAGAAUCUUAGCAUCAUUGCAAUGCUAGUGGUU